rnacentral:rRNA from 1 species
GACGAACGCUGGCGGCGUGCUUAACACAUGCAAGUCGAACGGUGAUGCUGGAGCUUGCUCCAGUUGAUUAGUGGCGAACGGGUGAGUAACACGUGAGCAAUCUGCCCUUGACUCUGGGAUAACUGCGGGAAACUGUAGCUAAUACCGGAUACUUUCACCGGAAGGCAUCUUCUGGUGAUGAAAGAAUUUCGGUCAGGGAUGAGCUCGCGGCCGAUCAGGUUGUUGGUGAGGUAACGGCGCACCAAGGCGACGACGGGUAGCCGGCCUGAGAGGGUGACCGGCCACACUGGGACUGAGACACGGCCCAGACUCCUACGGGAGGCAGCAGUGGGGAAUAUUGCACAAUGGGCGCAAGCCUGAUGCAGCAACGCCGCGUGAGGGAUGAAGGCCUUCGGGUUGUAAACCUCCUUUAGCAGGGAAGAAGCGAAAGUGACGGUACCUGCAGAAAAAGCACCGGCUAACUACGUGCCAGCAGCCGCGGUAA